AGGGUCUAGACCACACGCGUACCCUCUCUUUUACAAGGGGUGGGCUGGGGGCACUUUAACAAGAUCACUGGGGCGGCGGUCUCUGCUCCCUCCUCUGAACAUUGCAGUGCCUGGAAGCUGUCAGGGUGGGCUGACCUCCAUGCUGGGAGUCAGGUCCCCGCAAACUCUGCCCGCUUGCCCUUGCAAGUGUCAGCUCUCACACAGAGCCGUUCUCCCUCUGCUCUGGGCUGCUGUGAGAAGUGAGAAUGGCCUCCACAAGCUCAAAUGUUUGAAUGCUUGGUCCCUAUUUGGUGGAACAGUUUUGGAAGGAUUAGAAGGUGUGGCAUUGUUGGAGGAGGUGUGUCGCUGGGGGGGUGGGCCUUGAGGUUUCAAAAGUGAAUGCUAGGUCCUCUCAGUCUCAGUCUCAGGGUCUCUCAGUCUCUCUCUCUCUCUCUCUCUCUCUCUCUCUCUCUCUCUCUCACACACACACACACACACACUCACUCA
rnacentral:lncRNA from 1 species